rnacentral:rRNA from 1 species
CUUGCUUCUCUUGAGAGCGGCGGACGGGUGAGUAAUGCCUAGGAAUCUGCCUGGUAGUGGGGGAUAACGUUCGGAAACGGACGCUAAUACCGCAUACGUCCUACGGGAGAAAGCAGGGGACCUUCGGGCCUUGCGCUAUCAGAUGAGCCUAGGUCGGAUUAGCUAGUUGGUGGGGUAAUGGCUCACCAAGGCGACGAUCCGUAACUGGUCUGAGAGGGUGAUCAGUCACACUGGAACUGAGACACGGUCCAGACUCCUACGGGAGGCAGCAGUGGGGAAUAUUGGACAAUGGGCGAAAGCCUGAUCCAGCCAUGCCGCGUGUGUGAAGAAGGUCUUCGGAUUGUAAAGCACUUUAAGUUGGGAGGAAGGGUUGUAGAUUAAUACUCUGCAAUUUUGACGUUACCGACAGAAUAAGCACCGGCUAACUCUGUGCCAGCAGCCGCGGUAAUACAGAGGGUGCAAGCGUUAAUCGGAAUUACUGGGCGUAAAGCGCGCGUAGGUGGUUUGUUAAGUUGGAUGUGAAAUCCCCGGGCUCAACCUGGGAACUGCAUUCAAAACUGACUGACUAGAGUAUGGUAGAGGGUGGUGGAAUUUCCUGUGUAGCGGUGAAAUGCGUAGAUAUAGGAAGGAACACCAGUGGCGAAAGCGACCACCUGGACUAAUACUGACACUGAGGUGCGAAAGCGUGGGGGAGCAAACAGGAUUAGAUACCCUGGUAGUCCACGCCGUAAACGAUGUCAACUAGCCGUUGG